UACGUAGGGUGCAAGCGUUAAUCGGAAUUACUGGGCGUAAAGCGUGCGCAGGCGGUGAUGUAAGACAGGUGUGAAAUCCCGGCUUAACCUGGGAACUGCAUUUGUGACUGCAUCGCUGGAGUGCGGCAGAGGGGGAUGGAAUUCCGCGUGUAGCAGUGAAAUGCGUAGAUAUGCGGAGGAACACCGAUGGCGAAGGCAAUCCCCUGGGCCUGCACUGACGCUCAUGCACGAAAGCGUGGGGAGCAAACAGG
rnacentral:rRNA from 1 species